rnacentral:rRNA from 1 species
CCCCCACUAGUCUGGGAUACCACUUGGAAACAAGGUGCUAAUACCGGAUAAGAAAAGACGGAUCGCAUGAUCAGCUUUUAAAAGGCGGCGUAAGCUGUCGCUAUGGGAUGGCCCCGCGGUGCAUUAGCUAGUUGGUAAGGUAAAGGCUUACCAAGGCGAUGAUGCAUAGCCGAGUUGAGAGACUGAUCGGCCACAUUGGGACUGAGACACGGCCCAAACUCCUACGGGAGGCAGCAGUG